AACGAACGCUGGCGGCAGGCCUAACACAUGCAAGUCGAGCGCCCUUUCGGGGGAGCGGCGGACGGGCGAGUAACGCGUGGGAAUAUGCCCUUCUCUACGGAAUAGCCUCGGGAAACUGAGAGUAAUACCGUAUACGCCCUAUGGGGGAAAGAUUUAUCGGGGAAGGAUUAGCCCGCGUUGGAUUAGGUAGUUGGUGGGGUAAUGGCCUACCAAGCCGACGAUCCAUAGCUGGUUUGAGAGGAUGAUCAGCCACACUGGGACUGAGACACGGCCCAGACUCCUACGGGAGGCAGCAGUGGGGAAUCUUAGACAAUGGGGGCAACCCUGAUCUAGCCAUGCCGCGUGAGUGAUGAAGGCCUUAGGGUUGUAAAGCUCUUUCAGCUGGGAAGAUAAUGACGGUACCAGCAGAAGAAGCCCCGGCUAACUCCGUG
rnacentral:rRNA from 1 species